rnacentral:rRNA from 1 species
GGUGAACGCUGGCGGCGUGCCUAAUACAUGCAAGUCGAGCGAACAGACGAGGAUCUUGCUCCUCUGACUUUUUCGUCUGACGUGUGAUUAACACGUUUAUAACCUCCCUAUAAGUCUGUUAUAACUUCGGGAAACCUUAUCUAAUACCUUAUAAUCUUUUUAACCUCAUUUUUCUUUAGUUUAUUACUGUUUUUCUUUCUCUUAUCUAUGUAUCCUCGCCGCAUUAUCUAGUUGUUAAGGUAACGUCUUACCAAGGCGACGAUUCGUAGCCGACGUGAGAGGGUGAUCGGACACACUGGAACUGAGACACGGUACAGACUCCUACGGGAGGCAGCAGUAGGGAAUAUUCCGCAAUGGGCGAAAGCAUGACGGAGCAACGCCGCGUGAGUGAUGAAGGUCUUCGGAUCGUAAAACUCUGUUAUUAGGGAAGAACAAAUGUGUAAGUAACUAUGCACGUAUUGACGGUACCUAAUCAGAAAGCAACGGCUAACUACGUG